AGGGACUUUAUGAGCUUAUUCCUGCAACCAAAUCAGUAGUUGAGAAUUUGGGGAAAGAGAGACUUGAUAGAUUGGGUUUUUGCAGCGGUUAUUAGACAUACCCGCAUCCUGUGUGUAUGGAGAGGUUUGAUCACUUAUCCAGUGAUGCCGAAGAAGAAGAACGAGUUCAUCUUGAUCGUUAAUGGAUCACGAUUACUUGCCCUGCUAACACCAUUAUUAGGGAAGAUUGCAUUGUCACAUGGUCCUCUGUGCCAAGCUACCAAUACCCAAUGCCAAUGGCGGAAGUGAGCAAGCCACCAAACCCUAACCUUAGUUGCAUUGGCCUAUGUAUGCUGCUCAUCGAUCAAAACCCCUAAUUGAUUUUCUGCAUGCCAAGAGGUUCUGUCUCCUUGCCUUCUACUUGGUUGACUGACACUCAUAUUACUAUUGAUUUGGGUUCUCAAUCAAGCUUAGGAAUAUCAUGGCACAGGAUCUAAAAUCGGGGAGGAAUCUUUUGACUGGGAAGAGUAGCAAUGGUCUAUAUCCUAUUUCUCUGCCGUCGUUAAAAAAUUUUGGCUUGCAAGUUUGCUCAUGUCGGUGUUUGUGUGUUGGCUCCCAUUUGACAUUCACGCCUUGGUCAUCCAUCUAGUCUAGUCUUGAGUCAUUUAUUUUCAAAUAAGGAGCUUCCUG